UGCUCCACAGUGGAAACGCAACGAAAUUUAAAUUCAUGCGGAUCUGAAUUUCAGCUCCAUUUCAUUGUGAAGUUGCAGCAAUGAUCUGUUUGUGUAAUUAUCUUGGCUGCCUGGGCCUGUCUUUCAGUUUUUUCUGUAUUCACUCAGUUAUGGACAUCGGACACGGCACGGCACGGCACGACACGAACGAGGAGUUGGCUUUGGUGUUUACACUCAGCUUUUUGGUGCACUUUUUUUCUGCUUUGUCUGCUGUCCUGUCCGUAAUUAAAAAUUCAUCAUACGCCACGUUGACUGUGGCCCACACAAAAAGAAAGAGACAGCCAAAGAGCAAGGAUGAAGCGACGGGGAAAAACGCGAGUGUGCAACUAAAUGAACUUCAAAGUUUUUACACCAAAACUAAUUGGAAAACAAUUAAGGAACCACCGACGCUCAACGGACUCUGAAAGCUGAACAAAUGAAAGCGGAAUCAAGCAGAAGAGUUUCGCACUAAAUAUAGCUAGCCCCCCCUUGCUGACUGCUUUGUUUAUAGUAUAGUUUAUAAUACAUAAUAUUUAUAAUCAAAAUCCACAGGAUUCGUCCGACUGCAACCCAGAAGAACUUUCAGCUUUCAGCUUUGGGCUUUUGCUACUUUGGCCACUUGUUUCUGUCUUGUUCGUCACAGAGCCCCCUCCUGUUGUUCUUUACCCGACUCUAGCAGGACAAACAAAACUAUGGCAACAUGAAAUUUGUUUCGGAUCCCCGCACAGGGAGCAGGCACUGGCACUGGGACAGGCCAAUCGAGUGGAGCCAAGCAAGGCACUGGCCCCUUGGUCAGCUUGUUACAGCCAAAAGGCAAUGCCCGGCUUAAUCAAUUGACGAUUUAAAUUGACACUGCCCUGGAGACACGCUCCUCUCCUCCUCCUUCGCCUGCUUUCAGCUUCCUCCGAACUAGGCCAAAUAUUCAAUGUACAUCAAUUGGCUUUGUCGCAACAGUCAGCCGCCAACAGCCUGCUCCUGCUGCUGCUCUAGCUCUAGCUGUAGCUCCACCCACAUCCUGUCAUGGCAGCUUCCGGCCUGGCCACACGUCGCGUGCGUGUUGCCAAAAAAACGGAAAUGCACAAAUCAUGGACCGCAUGCCAUUGUUGCAGCCGCCAGCCAGAACGGAAAUAAAUGCGAAACAUAUGCGUGGAGGCAGGCAGAGGCAGUGACUGCCGAACUCUCAUGCCCAAGCUUGGAUACGCUGCACAGCUGGGGAGUAAUUAAUUGGCACAGCAUCUACAUCGAGAUGCAAACACACCCAAGACGAGCAAGCAGAGAGACCUUCCGCACUGCUCUGGGGAAGAGUAGAGGAAAUUCGCCGCCGACAAACAAAACGCGCAACCGAAGCGAAAUCCACUACUGACACACAGCACAGAGAUGCAAACGAAUCCAAACCCCCCUCCCCACGAAGGCUGCUGUAGAGAGUGGAAUGUUUACACAUGUUAUGGCCAGAACGGCUCCAGUUGCAGCUGCAGUUCUGCUGUCAGCAACUUGGGCACGUUCGCUGCAAUUGAAACUUAAACUUUUUUCACAAAAUGCGAAACACAAAAUUGUUGCAACAAUAACAAAUGUCGGGGGCUAAGAAAAUAAAUAAAGAGUGGAAUCAUGC